AGGAACCAGCUGAGCAGCACAGGACCACACACAGUCUCACUGAGGGCUUACAAUAUCACAAGGAGCAUGGUAGAAAGAGGAAUCGGCCAGGGGAAGAGGCGAUUUCAUGUUCUCCGUGGAGAGGUGCGUCACAGCCCAAGCAAGGAUGGUCUGCCGCAUAAGAAUGACUUCUGGCAUAUUGCACGACAUCCGAACUACGGCUGAUCCCUCUACCUCCUGACGAUGGAAAAYCGUGGCCCAGUGCCAUAGGUAGACAGCGAAAGCUUUUCCGCCAGCACUUUACCAACCUUCACUUUAGGUAGGCUCGCAUAGCAAUCUCCACACUUCGUUUUGGCRCUUUGUCAGCCCAGGAGAAUGGUCUCGCAGAACCAAAUAUCUAGCUACGUAACAUUAAGCUAUUGGAAUGGGAGAGCAUCAUACAGAUAUGCCAUAGUGGGCUAACAUUUAGAAAAAGGUGAACAAAUACACACCAUAUUAUUUCUUAAGCUUUUUUUUUAUUGUAAGAGUUAUAUUCCUCCUGCAAAUGCAAAACUUGUACUUCCGGGGAGCCGUUGGUGGAUGUCCUGCAGCAACAGCGAAGUGGAGGUCCCCUCAGACGAUAGAGAUGCACUGCAAUAAGAAUUGUUUUCAGUUUAGCUUACUUGUCCAAUAACAUKUUAUUUGUUCAUCAAAAUAUGUGAAUAAAAGUGUUUGAAAUGCAACAGUAAGCUUAAAUCCUACUURUUGUGCUGCUCGGUGACCCUCAACAGCGCAACGUCUAAGUCCUCUCCAAUGCCCGAGAUGGACACAUUUGAGCCCUGCAGGUAGUUAAACACAUUCAGCUAUGGCACUGAGGGGGUUUACGUGGAGGGCCACCUCCUGAAUGCAGAGAAUACCCAUUAGACAUCAAAAUAGUCUACUUUACAGUGUGCAUAACAUAGUAACUGAAUUGAGGCCUACCUGUUUUUCCCGUUAACCUUCAGAAGUUGGCAAUCUCCAACCUACAUUUUGAUAGGAAUGUGUACCAGCGUUGUUCACAUUCGUCAGGAGUUUUUAUGGAAAACUGAAGUAUCCUGUUUAUUGUUUCGAGAUGGCUUUUGAUAAUGCUUUUGUAUUUCUCAACUUGUUCUGCAAGUAAAAUACUUUCCUCAUCCCG